rnacentral:rRNA from 1 species
UACGGAGGGUGCAAGCGUUAUCCGGAUUUACUGGGUUUAAAGGGUGCGUAGGCGGGCCCUUAAGUCAGUGGUGAAAGCUCCGAGCUUAACUCGGAAACUGCCAUUGAUACUAUAGGUCUUGAAUUCGGUCGAGGUUGGCGGAAUAGUGUCGUGUAGCGGUGAAAUGCUUAGAUAUGACACAGAACACCGAUUGCGAAGGCAGCUAGCUAGACCGACAUUGACGCUGAGGCACGAAAGCGUGGGGAUCAAACAGG